rnacentral:rRNA from 1 species
UACGAAGGGUGCAAGCGUUGCUCGGAAUUAUUGGGCGUAAAGGGUUGGUAGGUGGUCUUGUUUGUCUAAGGUGAAAUCCCAGGGCUUAACCCUGGAAGUGCCUUAGAAACGGCAAGACUAGAGUUCUAGAGGGGUUUGUGGAAUUCCCGGUGUAGCGGUGAAAUGCGUAGAGAUCGGGAGGAACACCAGCGGCGAAGGCGGCAAACUGGAUAGAUACUGACACUCAACAACGAAAGCGUGGGGAGCAAACAGG